rnacentral:pre_miRNA from 1 species
AAGGAAAGCUUAGGCGUAUGUUAGUUCAUUUAAACCUACGCCUGAUGCUUUCCCAAU